rnacentral:rRNA from 1 species
UACGAAGGGGGCUAGCGUUGCUCGGAAUCACUGGGCGUAAAGCGCACGUAGGCGGAUUGUUAAGUCAGGGGUGAAAUCCUGGAGCUCAACUCCAGAACUGCCUUUGAUACUGGCGAUCUCGAGUCCGGGAGAGGUGAGUGGAACUGCGAGUGUAGAGGUGAAAUUCGUAGAUAUUCGCAAGAACACCAGUGGCGAAGGCGGUCACUGGACCGUCUGACGCUGAGUGAGGCAAGGCGAGGACA